CUUUCCUGCAGUGUUGCCUCUGUUCUAAUGUAUAGUUGUUGGUGAUGCAGGAUUUAAUAUAGGGAAAGUUCUGGAAAAAAUGAAGGAAAUCUUGCUGCUGACUUUAUCAGUGGCUUGGCAACUUAUUGGGAGACAUUAACGUUCUGUUGAUUCAUCUGUGCUAUCAAAGUUUGGGGUUCUGAACAAUGCAGUGGCUUACAGAACCUGCUCAGACUUUUUUAUUUCCUUUCAUCCCAGUGCAGAUGCUGCUGUCCAAACAGCCUUUGGGGAAAAUUUCCUUUGUGGGACACGGACAUGACAGUGGAAAUAGCUGGAGCCUGCUGAAGCAAUGCUGGGUUGAUGUUGGAGCAAAUGGGGAAAGCUGUUGUCAGGGAAGAAUAGGGAGAACUACUUGAGCAGAAUGCAGCCAGAGUGGAAACUCUCCUUCAGCCAAAGCAAUUUAUCACCAGUUUCCUCAAAGGUGCAAGAAUGUACCAGAAAGAUCCAUCACUACAACGCAUAUAGGUAAACACAAAACAGAUAUUUGUAAGGGAAAGUACUGCUGUAAAAGAAAGAUAGGAUAUGAUAUGGGUAAUUUAAAAAUCUCAACUUCUACUCUAUUUUCAAAAUUGACUGGUGUUUGUAUGGUCUCA
rnacentral:lncRNA from 1 species